rnacentral:rRNA from 1 species
GAUGAACGCUGGCGGCGUGCCUAAUACAUGCAAGUCGAGCGAACAGACGAGGAGCUUGCUCCUCUGACGUUAGCGGCGGACGGGUGAGUAACACGUGGAUAACCUACCUAUAAGACUGGGAUAACUUCGGGAAACCGGAGCUAAUACCGGAUAAUAUAUUGAACCGCAUGGUUCAAUAGUGAAAGACGGUUUUGCUGUCACUUAUAGAUGGAUCCGCGCCGCAUUAGCUAGUUGGUAAGGUAACGGCUUACCAAGGCAAUGAUGCGUAGCCGACCUGAGAGGGUGAUCGGCCACACUGGAACUGAGACACGGUCCAGACUCCUACGGGAGGCAGCAGUAGGGAGUCUUCCGCAAUGGGCGAAAGCCUGACGGAGCAACGCCGCGUGAGUGAUGAAGGUCUUCGGAUCGUAAAACUCUGUUAUUAGGGAAGAACAAAUGUGUAAGUAACUAUGCACGUCUUGACGGUACCUAAUCAGAAAGCCACGGCUAACUACGUG